UACGUAGGGGGCAAGCGUUGUCCGGAUUUAUUGGGCGUAAAGAGCGUGUAGGCGGCCAGGUAGGUCCGUUGUGAAAACUCGAGGCUCAACCUCGAGACGUCGGCGGAAACCCUCUGGCUAGAGUCCGGAAGAGGAGAGUGGAAUUCCUGGUGUAGCGGUGAAAUGCGUAGAUACCAGGAGGAACACCAGUGGCGAAGGCGGGUCUCUGGACAGUUCCGUGACGCUGAGACACGAAGGCCAGGGGAGCAAACGGGGA
rnacentral:rRNA from 1 species